rnacentral:rRNA from 1 species
AAAGGGUAAGGGGGGAGCNAACCGAUAAACCCGGGUAGUCACGCCCUAANAUGGCAUUAGGNUUACGGUUUUACCCCUCGGGUCCGUAGUUAACGCGUUAAGUGCCCCGCCUGGGGAGUACGUUCGCAAGGGGUGGGGAACUCCAAGGAAUUGACGGGGGCCCGCACAAGCGGUGGAGUAUAGUGGGUUUAAUUUGAUGCNACGCGAAGAACCCUUACAUGGGGUUUGAACUGCUGGAGUCAGUCGUAGAGAUACGAUCUAUCCUCUUCGGAGGACCCCACAGCAGAGGUGCUGCAUGGCUGUCGUCAGCUCGUGCCGUGAGGUUGUUGGGUUAAGUCCCGCAACGAGCGCAACCCUUGCCCCUAGUUGCCAGCGGUUAAAACACGGAGGACUCUAGGGGGACUGCCGGUGACAAACCGGAGGAAGGUGGGGAUGAAGUCAAGUCAUCAUGGCCUCUAUGUCCAGGGCUACACACGUACUACAAUGGCCGGUACAAAGGGCAUGCAAACCUGCGAAGGGGAGCUAAUCCCAGAAAACCGGCCUCAGUUCGGAUUGUCAGUCUGCAACUUGACUGCAUGAAGGUGGAAUCGCUAGUAAUCGCGCAACAGCAUGGCGCGGUGAAUAGUUCCCGGGCCGUGUACACACCGCCCAAAGUAAGUGAACUCUCAGUCUAGCCCGGGGGCACUCACAUGUAUUUGUGCGGCCGCCUCCGCGGGCUGCUCCAUGCNAAGCCCUUUUCCUUGGUCGGGGGGUCGUU